rnacentral:rRNA from 1 species
AACGAACGCUGGCGGCAUGCCUAACACAUGCAAGUCGAACGGGAUCCUAGCUUGCUAGGUGAGAGUGGCGGACGGGUGAGUAACACGUGGGAAUCUGCCUUUUGGUUCGGGAUAACCGCGGGAAACUGCGGCUAAUACCGAAUGCCCUCGCGAGAGGAAAGAUUUAUCGCCAGAAGAGGAGCCCGCGUCCGAUUAGGUAGUUGGUGGGGUAAAGGCCUACCAAGCCGACGAUCGGUAGCUGGUCUGAGAGGAUGAUCAGCCACACUGGGACUGAGAUACGGCCCAGACUCCUACGGGAGGCAGCAGUGGGGAAUAUUGGACAAUGGGGGCAACCCUGAUCCAGCAAUGCCGCGUGAGUGAUGAAGGCCUUAGGGUUGUAAAGCUCUUUUGCCAGGGAAGAUGAUGACUGUACCUGGAGAAUAAGCCCCGGCUAACUUCGUGCCAGCAGCCGCCGUAACAC